AACGAACGCUGGCGGCAGGCUUAACACAUGCAAGUUGAGCGGGAUUAGUUGGUAGCUUGCUAUUGACUAUGAGAGCAGCGCACUGGUGAGUAACGCGUGAGAAACCUGCCUUUCAGUGGGGGACAACAGUUGGAAACGACUGCUAAUACCGCAUAAUGUUAUUUGGGGGCAUCCCCGAAUAACCAAAGCUUUAUGUGCUGAAAGAUGGUCUCGCGUCUGAUUAGCUAGAUGGCGGGGUAACGGCCCACCAUGGCGACGAUCAGUAGCCGGUCUGAGAGGAUGAACGGCCACAUUGGGACUGAGAUACGGCCCAGACUCCUACGGGAGGCAGCAGUGGGGAAUAUUGGGCAAUGGGGGAAACCCUGACCCAGCAACGCCGCGUGAAGGAAGAAGGCCUUCGGGUUGUAAACUUCUUUUACCAGGGACGAACACAAUGACGGUACCUGGAGAAAAAGCAACGGCUAACUACGUG
rnacentral:rRNA from 1 species